rnacentral:rRNA from 1 species
GACGUAGGGCGCGAGCGUUUGUCCGGAUUUAUUGGGCGUAAAGAGCUCGUAGGCGGCUUGUCGCGUCGUCCGUGAAAACCUGCAGCUCAACUGUGGCUUGCGGUCGAUACGGGCAGGCUAGAGUUCGGUAGGGGAGACUGGAAUUCCUGGUGUAGCGGUGAAAUGCGCAGAUAUCAGGAGGAACACCGGUGGCGAAGGCGGGUCUCUGGGCCGAUACUGACGUGAGGAGCGAAAAGCGUGGGGGAGCGAACAGG